AGUGAACGCUGGCGGUAGGCCUAACACAUGCAGGUCGAACGGCAGCACAGUAAGAGCUUGCUCUUACGGGUGGCGAGUGGCGGACGGGUGAGGAAUACAUCGGAAUCUACUUUUUCGUGGGGGAUAACGUAGGGAAACUUACGCUAAUACCGCAUACGACCUACGGGUGAAAGCAGGGGAUCUUCGGACCUUGCGCGAUUGAAUGAGCCGAUGUCGGAUUAGCUAGUUGGCGGGGUAAAGGCCCACCAAGGCGACGAUCCGUAGCUGGUCUGAGAGGAUGAUCAGCCACACUGGAACUGCGACACGGUCCAGACUCCUACGGGAGGCAGCAGUGGGGAAUAUUGGACAAUGGGCGCAAGCCUGAUCCAGCCAUACCGCGUGGGUGAAGAAGGCCUUCGGGUUGUAAAGCCCUUUUGUUGGGAAAGAAAAGCAGCAGGUUAAUACCCCGCUGUUCUGACGGUACCCAAAGAAUAAGCACCGGCUAACUUCGUG
rnacentral:rRNA from 1 species